CGAGUCGACUCGACUGUCCUUGGAGUCGACUCGAAUCUCAGAGCCCGAACUCCCGAUUCUCUGUCUUUUGGCUCAUCCAGUCUUGGAGUCGACUCGAACUUCCUUGGAGUCGACUCGGCUCUCAGUUUCCGAAAGUUGGUCUUCUGCCUUUUGAUGUGAAGCUUGUCUUGGAGUCGACUCGAGCUGUCUGGGAGUCGACUCGAAUCUCAGAGGCAGUAACAUGGUUUUCUGUCUGUCGAUGGUCGCACAGUCUCGGAGUCGACUCGCGUAUUGCGGGAGUUGACUCGAAUCUCAGAGUCCAUAAAAUGCUCUUUGACCUUUUCUUUGUGUACCGCUGAGAGUCGACUCUUGCUUUCUCUGGAGUCGACUUGCCAACCAUCGGAGUCGACUCGCGUUCCACUGGAGUCGACUCGAAUCUCAGACUCGAAAACUGCUCUCUGACUUUUCUUUGUGUACCUCUUGGAGUCGACUCUUACUACCCUGGAGUCGACUCGUUGAACAUUGGAGUCGACUCGCGCAC
rnacentral:lncRNA from 1 species